UACGUAGGGUGCAAGCGUUGUCCGGAAUUAUUGGGCGUAAAGAGCUCGUAGGCGGUCUGUCGCGUCGGCUGUGAAAACUCGGGGCUCAACCCCGAGCCUGCAGUCGAUACGGGCAGACUAGAGUGCGGUAGGGGAGACUGGAAUUCCUGGUGUAGCGGUGAAAUGCGCAGAUAUCAGGAGGAACACCGGUGGCGAAGGCGGGUCUCUGGGCAGUAACUGACGCUGAGGAGCGAAAGCGUGGGGAGCAAACAGG
rnacentral:rRNA from 1 species